AGAGUUUGAUCAUGGCUCAGAUUGAACGCUGGCGGCAGGCCUAACACAUGCAAGUCGAACGGUAACAGGAAGAAGCUUGCUUCUUUGCUGACGAGUGGCGGACGGGUGAGUAAUGUCUGGGAAACUGCCUGAUGGAGGGGGAUAACUACUGGAAACGGUAGCUAAUACCGCAUAACGUCGCAAGACCAAAGAGGGGGACCUUCGGGCCUCUUGCCAUCGGAUGUGCCCAGAUGGGAUUAGCUAGUAGGUGGGGUAACGGCUCACCUAGGCGACGAUCCCUAGCUGGUCUGAGAGGAUGACCAGCCACACUGGAACUGAGACACGGUCCAGACUCCUACGGGAGGCAGCAGUGGGGAAUAUUGCACAAUGGGCGCAAGCCUGAUGCAGCCAUGCCGCGUGUAUGAAGAAGGCCUUCGGGUUGUAAAGUACUUUCAGCGGGGAGGAAGGGAGUAAAGUUAAUACCUUUGCUCAUUGACGUUACCCGCAGAAGAAGCACCGGCUAACUCCGUGCCAGCAGCCGCGGUAGUACGGAGGGUGCAAGCGUUAAUCGGAAUUACUGGGCGUAAAGCGCACGCAGGCGGUUUGUUAAGUCAGAUGUGAAAUCCCCGGGCUCAACCUGGGAACUGCAUCUGAUACUGGCAAGCUUGAGUCUCGUAGAGGGGGGUAGAAUUCCAGGCGUAGCGGUGAAAUGCGUAGAGAUCUGGAGGAAUACCGGUGGCGAAGGCGGCCCCCUGGACGAAGACUGACGCUCAGGUGCGAAAGCGUGGGGAGCAAACAGGAUUAGAUACCCUGGUAGUCCACGCCGUAAACGAUGUCGACUUGGAGGUUGUGCCCUUGAGGCGUGGCUUCCGGAGCUAACGCGUUAAGUCGACCGCCUGGGGAGUACGGCCGCAAGGUUAAAACUCAAAUGAAUUGACGGGGGCCCGCACAAGCGGUGGAGCAUGUGGUUUAAUUCGAUGCAACGCGAAGAACCUUACCUGGUCUUGACAUCCACGGAAGUUUUCAGAGAUGAGAAUGUGCCUUCGGGAACCGUGAGACAGGUGCUGCAUGGCUGUCGUCAGCUCGUGUUGUGAAAUGUUGGGUUAAGUCCCGCAACGAGCGCAACCCUUAUCCUUUGUUGCCAGCGGUCCGGCCGGGAACUCAAAGGAGACUGCCAGUGAUAAACUGGAGGAAGGUGGGGAUGACGUCAAGUCAUCAUGGCCCUUACGACCAGGGCUACACACGUGCUACAAUGGCGCAUACAAAGAGAAGCGACCUCGCGAGAGCAAGCGGACCUCAUAAAGUGCGUCGUAGUCCGGAUUGGAGUCUGCAACUCGACUCCAUGAAGUCGGAAUCGCUAGUAAUCGUGGAUCAGAAUGCCACGGUGAAUACGUUCCCGGGCCUUGUACACACCGCCCGUCACACCAUGGGAGUGGGUUGCAAAAGAAGUAGGUAGCUUAACCUUCGGGAGGGCGCUUACCACUUUGUGAUUCAUGACUGGGUGAAGUCGGAACAAGGUAACCGUAGGGGAACCUGCGGUUG
rnacentral:rRNA from 1 species